AGCGAAACACCCUGUUUGCUUUGGGGAUGAACCACCCCCACGCACACACAUUUGCUAUGGAAGCUCUGUGCGGUGGGCCGGGGGAAGCUUGGCUCUUGUUUUUGUUAUUUCUCUUUCCCCCCGUGAAGCGAAUAACCGGAGUCCUGAUGGCAUCUGCUGUAGAUUAGGGGAAGCUUUAUGAGGCUGCUGAUGUUGAAAAACACUGUCAGGUGAUGAUAAGGCAACGUGAUGGGGUGGUUUGGGUGGGAGGGAGCACCUCGGUGCCCUCAUGCCCAGACAGCACCGAGCAGUGCCUGCUCCAUGCACACCAUGUCCUGGUGAUGCCACCGGUGCUCAGCCCUUACAGCCCUGCGUUAGUUAGCAGGCACAGAAAAUCAGAGCCUCCCAGCUCCUCACUCACACAGGUCAGUAACAAACAUGGACCUUAAGGCUGAAGGGAGUCCUGGGGACUGCUUUCCCAGCCCAGCUUAGUAUGAGCACGGAGCCCACAGAGCUCGUGCCCACUGUGAGCACAGCAGGAAGGGGACCCGAGGCAGCCCAGCCCCAGCACUGCACACUUGCUGUCAAGCUGACUGCCUUGGCGUUUGAAUAUCUUAAAUGCUGACCCCUUGUUGAUUGCAUUCAGCCUCGAAAAUCUUGAAUUUACUUAUUUAUUUGGGUUUUCAACCUCGCCUGCAAUUGCAGCUAAUUAAAAAGCUCAUUAGUCUGCACCCCAAGCCGACUCCCUGGGCUUCAUGCACUGUACUCCAUUCCUCCUGCGAGUCCAAGCCCCAGCUGUGCCUGCUCGCCUCGCUUCCUACCUCCCCAGCUUUAUGAGGUGUUCCAUAUUUUGAAUGCUAUUCCUCCUUCCCCCGAUUAUUUGCUUUUUUAAGUUACCAUUUGCUGCAGCCUUCAGGAAGCCCAGCAGCCGUCCUGGCCAUGCACAGGAACCGUGUCUCACAUUCACUCACAGACCCGAGGCAUUGCCGUUGCCAAUCCGUGCCAGCACCCUCCUCGUGUUUGCAUUCCACAAGGUUAAAACCACAACCACUGCUGGUUUGGCUUCUGCAGCCGUGCCUACAGAAACACGGGGGGAUUUCAGGCUUUGCAGCCUCCCUGCUUCCCCACAUCCACACCCCCUGCCUGAAAUCACCGCCUCCUCCCCCACUCCUUGUCCUGCAGGCUCUCUUUGCACCCACAAACCCAUCUCGGUGCCACGCAGCAGAUUCCCUGCAUCUGCCUGCCAGGGGAUGGGACCCCCACACAUUCCCCCCACACACCGCAGUGCUGUGUCAGCAGCAGGUUAUGCAUUGCUGCAGGCAUCACUAAGCCUGCCAAGGCCAAAAGGGCUGCGGGUCCCCCCCCCCCCCCGCUCCCCACUACUUUGCUUCUUUUCU
ensembl:lncRNA